rnacentral:lncRNA from 1 species
UACUUUACUCCCAUAUUAUGUCAGUCUUCCAAUGUAAUAAAUAACAAAUAUUCAAGCUCCAUAUAACCACUCAAUAGUUAUCAUGGAAUAGUAAUAGAAUAUAAAUCAUACCUGAUUGCCACAAAAUAAAUUAAACAUAGAACAUAGUGAUAGUACUUCCAUUUACAUUAGUUAUAGAACGUAUACAAAGGUAACAAAUGAGUGCUGGAAUUCAAGCUCAGGAGGGAUGGAGGGAAUACAGCAUGGUGGGAGGAUGGAUGAUGCUGUAAAAGAAUUACUGUGAUCAAAACGGUGUAGAGGGCGGCCAUAAAUUGCUUUCUAAAUAUUUAAAGCCUUGCAAGGUCAAGAAAAACAACAUGACUACCUAUUAUUUGCGAGAGCAGGCGACCCGUUUGAUCUUAUAGAAAAUCGAAAGCACAGGGAGGAUAGCGCCAAUACAGUCUAAUAGAAUUUGAGGCUCUCAAUCCAUCUUGUUGCACGUUUCUUGUUUGGAUAUUCUUGAAGUGGGUAAUAAUGGAAGCCUUCCAUUGCGAAUCCUUUUCUCUCAAGACAAGCCAUUAAGGGGCGCAUACAGUGAUGCAUAGAGAAGAAGCGCAAAGAGUGAUAGACAAAUAGAGUGAAAAUAAAGGACUUGAAGAAAAGAGAGAGAGAGAGAGAGAGUAGUGGAGUGCAAGAAGAAACUGAUUAAGAGAGAGAUGUUGAGAUGUUACGAAGCCAUGGGACUGCAAAAAGAACAAGUGAGAGAACAAAGCUUUUGCAUAAAAGUAAGAGAGGGAGAGAGAUGUUAGGAAGCCAUGGGACUGCAAAAAGAACAAGGGAGAGAACAAAGCUUUUGCAUAAAAGUAGUGACAGUGAUGCUAUCUAUAACAUGGAGAAAGAGAGGGAGGGAGGGAGAGGGGGGGGGGACAGAGGAGCAGCUGGGUAGAGUGGAAAGGAGAAGAAGAUUAAUGUAUGUUUCUUGAGUAGUCGAAAUCAACAACCCAUUUCAAGAAAGGCAGGAUUGGGGGAGAGGCCAUUCGUCACAGAUGCAC